ensembl:lncRNA
GGCAAAGUUUCAGUGCAUUCCGUUGAUGUAGACGGCGUGAAAACGGAAACAAGUAUGCCAGCUCACUGUGCUGCAUACAAUUACACACUACGUCGUACGAUUGAGACAAGGAAACUUGGAAUGACUUUUCAUAGGUUUCCCAGAGACUAUGGGUUGAGGAGGAAUUGGAAGUUUGUCGGCUUAGACCUGGUGUCAUUCCAUCAGUGUUAAACUUCCCGGCUCAUCUUGGAAGAGUACGUGCCAGAAAGACCACGACCAAGCAGCCUUGAGAUCUUAGACAGCGUCUCCCUCAGACCAAAGAACUACAGACUCUUCACAACCUGCUCAAACUCUUGGU